GCAGAGGCAAAUCCGGGGCUGCAGAGGCAAAUCUGGGGCUGCAGAGGCAAAUCCGCUUCGGCUUCUCCGUGACCGGGUAAAAGAUGAGUUUCUCAAAGCCUUCCCAGCACAACGGGGCAGAUUCCUCGCCCCUGCUCGCCCUGCGAGGGAAGGUGAGCGCUCCCCCUGCCCGAGUCAGGCGCGCUCCGUGCCAAGGUGUGCCCAGCCCCGCUCACUCCUGCUCUAAAUCAGCGCGAUUCCCAAGGCAAGGAUUGGGAGCCCGGUGCUUGGGAAGUUCUGGGAGAAAUCAGGUGCAAAAUGGGUCCAGCCCGGCCAUAUUCCAAUGAGUGAGAAAUUCCGUGGGACACAAGAUAUUCUGCAGUCGGCACGUGCAAGUGGGUCCAGCUUCUAAUAGAAGACCACGUCCCCGGCACGCUCAGCAGUAACCUAAAUUCUCCGACGUUCCGCUUGAAACGCAAAUAAGGAAAAGGAAGCCCUGACAGCCGAAGACACCCCAGCAAAGGGGCACAGCG
rnacentral:lncRNA from 1 species